UAGGGAAUCUUCGGCAAUGGGGGGAACCCUGACCGAGCAACGCCGCGUGAGUGAAGAAGGUUUUCGGAUCGUAAAGCCCUGUUGUUAAGGAAGAACGAGUGUGAGAAUGGAAAGUUCAUGCUGUGACGGUACUUAACCAGAAAGGGACGGCUAACUACGUUCCAGCAGCCGCGGUAAUACGUAGGUCCCGAGCGUUGUCCGGAUUUAUUGGGCGUAAAGCGAGGGCAGGCGGUUAGAUAAGUCUGAAGUUAAAGGCAGUGGCUCAACCAUUGUAGGCUUUGGAAACUGUUUAACUUGGGUGCAGAAGGGGAGGGUGGAAUUCCAUGUGUAGCGGUGAAAUGCGUAGAUAUAUGGAGGAACACCGGUGGCGAAAGCGGCUCUCUGGUCUGAAACUGACGCUGAGGCUCGAAAGCGUGGGGAGCGAACAGG
rnacentral:rRNA from 1 species